AGAUUGAACGCUGGCGGCAGGCCUAACACAUGCAAGUCGAGCGGUAGAGAGGUGCUUGCAUCUCUUGAGAGCGGCGGACGGGUGAGUAAUGCCUAGGAAUCUGCCUAGUGGUGGGGGAUAACGUUCGGAAACGGACGCUAAUACCGCAUACGUCCUACGGGAGAAAGCGGGGGACCUUCGGGCCUCGCGCCAUUAGAUGAGCCUAGGUCGGAUUAGCUAGUUGGUGAGGUAAUGGCUCACCAAGGCGACGAUCCGUAACUGGUCUGAGAGGAUGAUCAGUCACACUGGAACUGAGACACGGUCCAGACUCCGUACGGGAGGCAGCAAGGUGGGAAUAGUUGGACAAGUGGGACGAAAGGCCUAGA
rnacentral:rRNA from 1 species